rnacentral:rRNA from 1 species
CUGGUCUUGACAUACACAGAAUCUUGUAGAGAUACGAGAGUGCCUUCGGGAAUUGUGAUACAGGUGCUGCAUGGCUGUCGUCAGCUCGUGUCGUGAGAUGUUGGGUUAAGUCCCGCAACGAGCGCAACCCUUGUCCUUAGUUACCAGCACUUCGGGUGGGAACUCUAAGGAUACUGCCAGUGACAAACUGGAGGAAGGCGGGGACGACGUCAAGUCAUCAUGGCCCUUACGACCAGGGCUACACACGUGCUACAAUGGUAGGUACAGAGGGCAGCUACACAGCGAUGUGAUGCGAAUCUCAAAAAGCCUAUCGUAGUCCAGAUUGGAGUCUGCAACUCGACUCCAUGAAGUAGGAAUCGCUAGUAAUCGCGGAUCAGAAUGCCGCGGUGAAUACGUUCCCGGGCCUUGUACACACCGCCCGUCACACCAUGGGAGUUGAUUGCACCAGAAGUGGUUAGCCUAACUUAGUGAGGGC